ensembl:snRNA U1 U1 spliceosomal RNA
AAACCAUCCCGUUUUGAGGCACCAUGAUCACGAAGGCAGUUUUCCCAGGGAGAGGCUCAUUCAUUGCACUCCCGAUUUGCUGACCCCUGCGAUUUCCCCAAAUGUGGGAAACUCGGAUGCAUAAUUUGUGGUAGUGGGGGACUGUGUUCGGGCUCUCCCCUA